rnacentral:sRNA from 1 species
UAUCCCUCGCUGCUAAGCUAUCGCUGCCAACCUAUCUAUCGCUGCCAACCUAUCUAUCGCUGUCAAUUUAUCUACCACUGCCAAUCUAUCUAUUGCUGCUAAUCUAUCGCUGCUGUCAAUCUAUCCCUCGCUGCUAAGCUAUCCCUCGCUGCUAAGCUAUCGCCGCUGCCAAUCUAUCCCUCACUGCUAAGCUAUCCCUCGCUGCUAAGCUAUCACUGCCAAUCUAUCGCUGCUAAUCUAUCGCUGCCAACCUAUCUACCGCGGCGAAUCUAUCUAUCACUGCUAAUCUAUUGCUGCUAAUCUAUCACUGCUAAUCUAUCGCUGCUAAUCUAUCGCUGCUAAUCUAUCGCUGCUAAUCUAUCGCUGCUAAUCUAUCGCUGCUAAUCUAUCGCUGCCAACCUAUCUACCGCGGCGAAUCUAUCUAUUGCUGCCAACCAACCUACCACUGCCAACCUAUCUAUCGCUGCCAAUCUAUCGCUGCCAACCUAUCUACUGCAGUGAAUCUAUCUAUCACUAUCAUUACUAGUUCAAAAUAGAACUAGAGCAUAAAUACACUAAACUUCUUUUGAUAGGUAAUGAUUUUUGGUAACACUCAUAGCAUUAUAUCAUCUAUAUAGGGUAAAUCAUGGUCCCAUUUGGUCCCAUUUUAACAAAAUGGGAUCAAAUGGGACCAGAAUCAGUAAUUUAUAAGAAGAACAUGACCUGAGACUAGAUUUAUAAUAUAAACAGUGUAAAGUGACUAAUUUAAUAAACACUAUAUGGGACC